CAAGCCUGACGGAGCAACGCCGCGUGAGUGAUGAAGGGUUUCGGCUCGUAAAACUCUGUUAUUAGGGAAGAACAAAUGUGUAAGUAACUGUGCACAUCUUGACGGUACCUAAUCAGAAAGCCACGGCUAACUACGUGCCAGCAGCCGCGGUAAUACGUAGGUGGCAAGCGUUAUCCGGAAUUAUUGGGCGUAAAGCGCGCGUAGGCGGUUUCUUAAGUCUGAUGUGAAAGCCCACGGCUCAACCGUGGAGGGUCAUUGGAAACUGGGAAACUUGAGUGCAGAAGAGGAAAGUGGAAUUCCAUGUGUAGCGGUGAAAUGCGCAGAGAUAUGGAGGAACACCAGUGGCGAAGGCGACUUUCUGGUCUGUAACUGACGCUGAUGUGCGAAAGCGUGGGGAUCAAACAGGAUUAGAUACCCUGGUAGUCCACGCCGUAAACGAUGAGUGCUAAGUGUUAGGGGGUUUCCGCCCCUUAGUGCUGCAGCUAACGCAUUAAGCACUCCGCCUGGGGAGUACGACCGCAAGGUUGAAACUCAAAGGAAUUGACGGGGCCCG
rnacentral:rRNA from 1 species